rnacentral:tRNA from 1 species
UGUGAUGUGCCUGAAUAAAGGAUGAUUAUGAUAUAAUCAAUAAUGUUUUUAACCU